rnacentral:rRNA from 1 species
GACGAACGCUGGCGGCGUGCUUAACACAUGCAAGUCGAACGGAAAGGCCCUGCUUUUGUGGGAUGCUCGAGUGGCGAACGGGUGAGUAACACGUGAGUAACCUGCCCUUGACUUUGGGAUAACUUCAGGAAACUGGGGCUAAUACCGGAUAGGAGCUCCUGCUGCAUGGUGGGGGUUGGAAAGUUUCGGCGGUUGGGGAUGGACUCGCGGCUUAUCAGCUUGUUGGUGGGGUAGUGGCUUACCAAGGCUUUGACGGGUAGCCGGCCUGAGAGGGUGACCGGCCACAUUGGGACUGAGAUACGGCCCAGACUCCUACGGGAGGCAGCAGUGGGGAAUAUUGCACAAUGGGCGGAAGCCUGAUGCAGCAACGCCGCGUGCGGGAUGACGGCCUUCGGGUUGUAAACCGCUUUCGCCUGUGACGAAGAGUGAGUGACGGUAAUGGGUAAAGAAGCACCGGCUAACUACGUG